rnacentral:rRNA from 1 species
CCUACGGGUGGCAGCAGUGAGGAAUAUUGGUCAAUGGUCGGGAGACUGAACCAGCCAAGCCGCGUGAGGGAUGAAGGUACAGAGUAUCGUAAACCUCUUUUGUCAGGGAACAAAGGCUGGGUCGCGUCCCCGGAUGAGUGUACCUGAAGUAAAAGCAUCGGCUAACUCCGUGCCAGCAGCCGCGGUAAUACGGAGGAUGCGAUCGUUAUCCGGAUUUAUUGGGUUUAAAGGGUGCGCGGGCGGUCAGUUAAGUCAGCGGUAAAAGCCCGGGGCUCAACCCCGUCGAGCCGUUGAAACUGGCAGACUUGAGUUGGCGAGAGGUACGCGGAAUGCGCGGUGUAGCGGUGAAAUGCGUAGAUAUCGCGAAGAACUCCGAUUGCGAAGGCAGCGUACCGGCGCCAGACUGACGCUGAGGCACGAAAGCGUGGGGAUCGAACAGGAUUAGAUACCCGGGUAGUC